UGAGGCCAUGAGUCAUUAAUAAAUUAUAUUCACAGAAUUGCCACUGUUGCAGCUUGGAUUUUGCAAAGUGCAGCUGUUCUGGAAAAUAGUGUAAAGUGAAAAAGAAUAAAUUAUAUUUUGGAGUUUGAGGUAAAAUGAUGCAAAAUGUGAGAAAAAUUCUGGUGCUAGUUGUAAAACUAAACCAAAAGUUGGUUACAGAUAGUCAAGCUUAGGUAGGUGGAGGGGGAUUGAGUUAAUAGAUAUGGGGCAAAGGGAAGAUUUCAUACUAUUUUGACAUUUUUACUGAAAUUUGCAAUGUGCUAAAUACUUGUUCAUUACUAUAAUGAUCAUUACUUUAUGUAAGUUAUGUAUUUUUAUUUAUUAGUAGCUGUUUUUGGAAAUAAAGUAUUAUAGAUUUAA